GGAGGAGUGGCCGAGUGGUCGAAGGCGGCGGUCUUGAAAACCGUUGUGGGGUAACUCACCGGGGGUUCGAAUCCCUCCUCCUCCGCCA
rnacentral:tRNA from 1 species